AUUGAACGCUGGCGGCAGGCUUAACACAUGCAAGUCGAGCGGUUGCACAAGAGAGCUUGCUCUCUGGGUGACGAGCGGCGGACGGGUGAGUAAUGUCUGGGAAACUGCCUGAUGGAGGGGGAUAACUACUGGAAACGGUAGCUAAUACCGCAUAACGUCGCAAGACCAAAGAGGGGGACCUUCGGGCCUCUUGCCAUCAGAUGUGCCCAGAUGGGAUUAGCUAGUAGGUGGGGUAAUGGCUCACCUAGGCGACGAUCCCUAGCUGGUCUGAGAGGAUGACCAGCCACACUGGAACUGAGACACGGUCCAGACUCCUACGGGAGGCAGCAGUGGGGAAUAUUGCACAAUGGGCGCAAGCCUGAUGCAGCCAUGCCGCGUGUGUGAAGAAGGCCUUCGGGUUGUAAAGCACUUUCAGCGAGGAGGAAGGUGGUGAACUUAAUACGUUCAUCAAUUGACGUUACUCGCAGAAGAAGCACCGGCUAACUCCGUGCCAGCAGCCGCGGUAAUACGGAGGGUGCAAGCGUUAAUUGGAAUUACUGGGCGAAAGCGCACGCAGGCGGUUUGUUAGUCAGAUGUGAAAUCCCCGGGCUCACCCUGGGAACUGCAUUUGAAACUGGCAAGCUAGAGUCUCGUAGAGGGGGGUAGAAUUCCAGGUGUAGCGGUGAAAUGCGUAGAGAUCUGGAGGAAUACCGGUGGCGAAGGCGGCCCCCUGGACGAAGACUGACGCUCAGGUGCGAAAGCGUGGGGAACAAACAGGAUUAGAUACCCUGGUAGUCCACGCUGUAAACGAUGUCGAUUUGGAGGUUGUGCCCUUGAGGCGUGGCUUCCGGAGCUAACGCGUUAAAUCGACCGCCUGGGGAGUACGGCCGCAAGGUUAAAACUCAAAUGAAUUGACGGGGGCCCGCACAAGCGGUGGAGCAUGUGGUUUAAUUCGAUGCAACGCGAAGAACCUUACCUACUCUUGACAUCCAGAGAACUUUCCAGAGAUGGAUUGGUGCCUUCGGGAACUCUGAGACAGGUGCUGCAUGGCUGUCGUCAGCUCGUGUUGUGAAAUGUUGGGUUAAGUCCCGCAACGAGCGCAACCCUUAUCCUUUGUUGCCAGCGGUUCGGCCGGGAACUCAAAGGAGACUGCCAGUGAUAAACUGGAGGAAGGUGGGGAUGACGUCAAGUCAUCAUGGCCCUUACGAGUAGGGCUACACACGUGCUACAAUGGCAUAUACAAAGAGAAGCGACCUCGCGAGAGCAAGCGGACCUCAUAAAGUAUGUCGUAGUCCGGAUUGGAGUCUGCAACUCGACUCCAUGAAGUCGGAAUCGCUAGUAAUCGUAGAUCAGAAUGCUACGGUGAAUACGUUCCCGGGCCU
rnacentral:rRNA from 1 species